rnacentral:rRNA from 1 species
CUGUUCCUAGUUACCAGCAUUGAGUUGGGGACUCUAGGAAGACUGCCGGUGUUAAACCGGAGGAAGGCGGGGAUGACGUCAAGUCCUCAUGGCCCUUAUGUCCAGGGCAACACACGUACUACAAUGGCAGAGACAAAGCGACGCAAAACCGCGAGGUGGAGCCAAUCGCAAAAACACUGUCCAAGUCCGGAUUGAAGUCUGCAACUCGACUUCAUGAAGCUGGAAUCGCUAGUAAUCGCAGAUCAGAACGCUGCGGUGAAUACGUUCCCGGGCCUU